rnacentral:rRNA from 1 species
GAUGAACGCUGGCGGCGUGCUUAACACAUGCAAGUCGAACGAAGAGGGUUAGAAUGAGAGCUUCGGCAGGAUUUCUUUCCAUCUUAGUGGCGGACGGGUGAGUAACGCGUGGGUAACCUGCCUCAUACAGGGGGAUAACAGUUAGAAAUGACUGCUAAUACCGCAUAAGCGCACAGUACCACAUGGUACGGUGUGAAAAACUCCGGUGGUAUGAGAUGGACCCGCGUCUGAUUAGCUGGUUGGUGGGGUAACGGCCCACCAAGGCAAUGAUGCAUAGCCGAGUUGAGAGACUGAUCGGUCACAAUGGAACUGAGACACGGUCCAU